rnacentral:lncRNA from 1 species
GCUUGAACUCCAUCGGGUCGGCCCAAACCCUUGGGUCAGUUUGGAUCUUCCACAGGUUCACUAACAGCCACGUGCCUUUUGGAACAUGGUACCCUCCUACAGUACAGUCCUCUGUGAAUUCCCUUUGGAAUGAGAGUGGUCCAGGUGGGCAUAAACGCAUUGCUUCUUUAACAGUGGCCUGCAGGUACACCAGAUUAUUUAUAUCUGACUCAUUCAACUGUCUUCCUUUGCCAACAUGCUGGUCAAGUUCUUCAUAAACUUUCUUCAAAAUUUGGCGGUUGUUCAAAAGCAAAGAGAGUGUCCACGUCAGGGCCACCCUGGUUGUGUCACUCCCUCCAGAAAUCAUAGCCUGCAUAAUCAAAAUUUUGGUGAUUAAUAAAAUAAAUUUAUCCUAUGACCAUUUGGUUUAGCAACAUCCAGUCUCCACUCCAUUGAAUGAGGCGCUGAGUUUAAAUAUGACGGACAAAGAUCGUCGUAGUUUAAAAAUAAAAUAAAACAUAUUUAUAUAUGUACCAAACAUGUUGCUUUGAUGAUGGUAUCAGCAUCAAAGCCAGCAAUAUCUGCUCCAUCGAUGGCUGAAAGCAUGACAUCCAUGAAAUCUUGAUCUUUUCCUUUAGUUCUUUUCUGCUUGUGCUCCUCCAACCAUUCCGAAACAAUACUAUCCAGUUCUUCGGCAGUUCUCUUCAUGGCCUUCUGCUGUCCACCCAAAUCCAACCAACUAAGCCAAGGAACAGCAUCUCCCAACACAAACAAUCCCACCAAAUGAAAGAACUCCCUCAUGGCUUUUUGCCUCCGCCUUGCCUCCUUCUCCUUACUCAAACCCCCAUUCAUAAAACAUCUCUUCCCAGCAACCAUCCUAAAAACCACAUUUAGAGUCAAACCUCCAAACCACUGCUUCAUCUCCACCAAAAGCUCCCCAGACCCUUCUUUUCUCUUGCUCCAUAGAGUGUACAGCUGCUUUAAGCUUAUCUCUACUUCAGAUGCUCGAACGUUUCUCAGUAGCUCGAGCCUGCAAUUUGAGAGUAGCUCGAGGGAUGUCAGUUUGCGCAUUUCACGCCAGUAUGGACCAUAGGGGCUAAACCCGAACAUGGCAAAGUUGUAGCUCAAGUACUUACACCCUAGCGUAGCGGGACGGGAGGAAAUAACUUUAUCGUUUGUGGUGAAGCAAUCCUUGGCCGCCUCCCAAGUACUUAUCACCAAAGCAGAGUGGAUGCUGUUGAUGCUCAAAAUGGCCCGGCCAAUAUCGAGUCCAACUUAGUGAUGAGGUGUGAUGGAUGAUGGAUGAAGGUGAGGACCUUCACCAAGUGUGUGAGGAUUUGGGCAAACGAUAAACAUAUAAAAGACAAGAUAUACGUGGUUCACCCGAAUGAUGGGCUACGUCCACGGAGAAGGGUGUUCUCAUUAUGAUAAUGUUUGUUUACAUUUGUACAAGGGAAUUAGACCCAAAUAUAAAGAUAACAAGUGAGAAGCCCAGGCCAGAGAUGGAUCCAGAAGAGAGAGUCCCCAAGAGCCAGUCCCCUUCUAAGGAAAAAGUAGUCUUCUUUUAUAGGUGAGGGGGAGUCUUCACUUCUUGUAGUUUUCCGAUGUGGGACUCCUCCUGCUUUGCUUAGAGUUGUGAUUUGUGGUGAUGCUUCUUUGGCUAAGGUGAUGACCUCUCAAAGCAUGGCACUCGAAUGAUCUAGCCUAGCUAGUUGCUCGGUCAGUUAUGGUACAAACAGUAGUCCCCCAAGUUCUCGAGUAAGAAGGUACUUCUUGGUUGGGGACUUGUAAUUUUAAGUGCACUGGCCGAGCAACACCAUAGUUCAUCUUCCAAGCUGUAUAGUGCACUACCCAUAGUCCCCCAAGUCCUCGGGUAAGAAGGACAUUUGGAAGGGAGAGAACUUGGCACGAGGGUGCCGAAGGUGAAGGGGUAGCCGAAGGGACAAAGUUGCAUGUAUCAGGGUAAUGUGGUUGGGCACGAGGGUGCCGAAGGCAUAUGAAUUGCAUGUGUCAAGGCGAUGGGCUUAGGCACGAGGGUGUUGAAGGUGACACUAAGCUUGCAUGUUUGCAAGGCAAUGUGUUUGGGCACGAGGGUGCCGAAGGCACAAAGCUUGCAUGUUGCAAGGCGAUGUGGCCUAGGCACAAGGGUGCCAAAGGCAUAAGACUUGCAUGUUGCAAGAUAAUAGAGCUAGGCACGGGGGUGCCGAAGGCAAAGGGGAUGCCGAAGGCACAAAGCUUGCAUGUCGCAAGGCAAUGUGCCUAGGCACGAGGGUGCCGAAGGCAUCACAAAGCUUGCAUGUUUGCAAGGCAAUGUAGUGAGGCACGGGGGUGCUGAAGGCAACACAAAGCUUGCAUGUCGCAAGGCGAUGUGGCUAGGCACGUGGGUGUCGAAGGCGACACAAAGCUUACAUGUUGCAAGGCGACACAAAGCUUGCAUGUUGCAAGGCGACAAAGCUUGCAUGUUGCAAGGCGAUGUGGCUAGGCACGUGGGUGCCGAAGGCGACACAAAGCUUGCAUGUCGCAAGGCGAUGUGGCUAGGCACGGGUGUGCUGAAGGCGACACAAAGCUUGCAUGUUGCAAGGUGACAAAGCUUGCAUGUUGUAAGGCGAUGUGGCUAGGCACGUGGGGGCCAAAGGCGACACAAAGCUUGCAUGUCGCAAGGCGAUGUGGCUAGGCACGGGGGUGCCGAAAGCGACACAAAGCUUGCAUGUUGCAAGGUGAUGUGGCCUCGGCACAGGGGUGCCGAAGGCACAAGGGUGCUUGUGGAUAUUUGGGCUUUCGGCAUGUCCUUGGAGCUGGGCCUUCAAGGCUUCGGCAAGGGCUUGUCCUUGGAGCUAGGCCUUCAAGGCUUCGGCAAGGGCUUGUCCUUGGAGCUAGGCCUUCAAGGCUUCGUCAAGGGCUGGGCUGUGCUGUAAAUUUGGAAGGAGCCGGGGAGGCUUCGGAAUAGAGCUACUGGAGCUGGGUUUUGGACUGGUUUGGAGCUGGGCUGUGAAAGGAUCCUUCGGCAAGGAUUUUGUUGAGCUGUGUGUUUGUGCCCCACAGCCCUUGCCGUUCAGCAGGGGUUAUUUGAACAGUUUCAAGGGCCUUUUUUUUUUAUAGCAUAAUUUACUUCGGCAAGGGUGGAGGGGCGAGACCGGGACUUGUCGUGACCCUCCAAUCAAUUUUUGAACGACCCUUGCCGUUCGGCAAGGGCAAGGUCUUCUAUCUUCGGCAAGGGAGGUCUUUGGAUUUUGAUGGUCUUGGCAAACUCAGUGCAUCAGUCUUUGCUUCAGCACGUCCUUCCGUUCGGCAGGUGACCGUCAUUAACCUUUGUCUCAUACAUGUAAGGUUGCAUUGGGAGCGAACCGAUCGGAAGGAAGAAGAUUUUUGCCAAACGGUAAGGGGCAUUGGGAGGAGCCUUUCGCGAGCCAGCGGGGUAGACUGAGAGCUGGGCCCUUGUUUCGUUCGGCAAGGAGCAAAAGUGGGAACCGGGUAUUAGCCCGGUUUAGAGCUGGGCUCCGGAAUGUUCGGCCCGAUUCUUCUUGGCUUUAGGAUUCUUUCCCAAUGCUUGCCGAACGGCAAAGACCAUGGACAAAAAAAAGGAGCCCCCAAAAUCUUCAACAGCCCAGCCUGCCAAAGGCCCUGCCAAAAAAAAAAAAAGAAAAAGAAAAAGAAAAAGAAAAAAAAGGAGCUAGACCCUUGCCGAACGGCGAGAGCCAUGGAAGAAUUGGAGUCUCCGAAAUUUUCACAAGACCUGGCUCCUUCGAAGGUCUGGCUCCCCUACUGACCCAGCUCCCAUCUUAUCUGCAACAUGCCCAAGUACCCAAGUACCCAGCUACCAUGUGUUGACGCAACUCCUGGCUUGCCAACUUGGGGGACUAGGGAGUGCCCUACGACUCCCAACGAAGCUGGAAUGCUCGGUUACAAUUACAAAACUCACAAGUUCCCAACCCAGAAGUUACUUCUCGACCGCGAACUUGGGGGACUACUGUUUACACCAUAAUGAACCGAGCAGACCCAGCACCAAAGUGACUAGCACCAAGGCAGCCACGCCUUCUCCUGUGCCGAAGAAAGACACACUUCCGAGGUGCCAGACACCUACCGAAGCUCCCAGCUGCCAAACCUAAUUCCAGGACACAUGUCACCACCACAAAGGCUUGCACAAAGUCCCACAUUGGAACUUUGUGCAAAGCUCCCACUUUCACCUCCCUAUAAAUAGGGAACAGUACCUAGGUAAAAGCAAGAACUAUUCUCCCACUUUUACUGUUACUCUGCCAGAAUUACUACUUGUAACUGACUUAGGCAUCGGAGAGCCUUCGGCCGGCACCACACCGGUGUCCGAAGCUUAACGAUUGCUUAUCCCACUUUGUCUUCUGCAGGUUUCCCAUCAACCUAUAUUUCACCAAGGGCCUCAGCUCUCUUCCCUGCUGAAGACCCCGUAUACCUAAUCACUAAGUUGGACUCAAUAUUGGCCGGGCCAUUUUGAGCAUCAACAGAUGCCAAUGUUGACGGUGAAGAUUGGUCCAUAUUUGUCGACCAAGGAAGCCAAAGUUAUGUGAGGCAGCUGAGAUCCUCCGAAUAGGUAGAGAUGACCUAACAGAGGCCACCCACCUCCCACUUUUGGUGGUUUGGAACCCUUGGCUUUGGCACCAGAGCAUGAUCGCUUUAUGAUAAAGUAGGAAAACAGAAGUAUGGCUAAGAUUCCAGCUAUGGCAGUGUUUAGGCAUGGGAGAUACAACUCCAUUGUUGCAAAAGGAAAGGUUGACUUGAGGGUAGCUAUCCAUUGUUGCAAACUCGAUAUCUCAAGUAUUUACUUCUUGGGACAUGAUAAUUGAUGCAGGACCAAUGAUGGAGUUUCGACCAUAAAAAAUAUCCUUAUGAUUGAUAAUUAUUUUUUAUCCGUUUGAUACUAAAAAUGUGUCCAAUCAAUGUUGUCAAGCUAGCGGGUGGAGGUGGAGCUCGCAAAGAAAAGAAGAAGAUUAUGUUGGAUGCUUGUCUGCCGAUUCCUUCCAUCCAUUCCCUCAAAGCCUUUUUCGUGGGGAAAAUGUUAUUGAUGUUGCUUUCUAGGGACGUAGACACAACUUGUCGAGAUUCGUUAAAUAUUUUAUUUAAUUUACUUUAUAUGCAGCUUUAUAUUCCAAUACAUUUUAGUUUAUUUACGACAUCCAAGUUGUUUUGAAAAGGAUUCAUAUUAGCUAUGCAUGGUAUAUAAACUUAUCUGAUGCUCUGUGUGUGUUUUUUUUUUCUUUUUCUAGAAGAUAACACCAACCUAAUAUUAAACCAGUCAUAUAUCCUUGCCUGUUUUUAAUUCUUGUAAAUUAAAGACUUAAACGACAUAAAAAUAGCUAAAUUGGCCCUUUUUUGUUGAUGAGAAAUUCGUAAUUUUUUUUGGUUGAAUAGUAGAAUCUCAAUCAUAUCUUUGUUUUUUAAGUGAGAUGUUUAGAUUCCGGCCGCUGCGCUGUAUAGCUUGAUGAUUGGACUCAAUUAUAAUCCAUUUCUUUUUCCUUUUGGUGAAGAUUAUAGUGCAUUUCUUUCCUGAUUGAAUCUUAUGGGCUGCAAUGUCCGAUGGAUCCACAUAUAAUCAAACUCUCAUAACAUAAAUGGGCCUCACAAUCUUAGCUUAUAUAUACUUGUAUUUAAUUUAUUUUUAUUUAUCAAUGUAAAUAAUACAUUUGAAGAACCUCUAAAUUAAUCAACAAACAGUACAUUUUUAUACUUUAUUCAAACGCUUCAUCACAGAUAGAGAUUACCAGGAAGGCGUGGGGUGAGCAGAACCUCUAAUGGAGUCGCUUUCGGAAUGGUCAAACCUGGACUCUCAGUCAUGUCAAUCCGUUGACCAAGCGGGGUUUCAAACUCAAAUGCAUGAAGCAGACGAGCAAGCGUGAGGUGAAGGACUUGCAUGGCAAACGAGACACCAGGGCACGACCUUCUGCCAGAGACGAACAAUUACGAUUGCAACCAAUAAGCAAUAUAAUUCUUGACAUAUGUGAUAUAUAUAUACUAUUUUUCGUACUUAUUGUGAGUUUGAACUUUUGAUUCUUUAUAAUUUGUAAGAGGCCCCCACACAUAUGAAAUCUUGGCUUCGCCGCUGCCAAAUACACACUUUGUGUUACUUUUGUGCACACUCAUGUAUAUAUAUAUAUAUAUAAUACCUAUGAUAUUAAUAUACAUAAUAUAUACGUAAAAAAAAAAAAAUAUGGGGCCCUUAAAAAUUAGGGACCCUGUACGGUGGCACCAUUUGCACACCCUCAAAGCCGCCCCUGCCUCACAUGAAAAACUAUGUAUUUGAUUUGUUUGCUGCGGUUGAAAAUUCAAUUCUUAUCCCAGCUUAACAUUUGUCCAUGUCAUUUUGCAGAUCUAUAUCUCCAAUGGGCGGGGUUGCCUUGUUAUAUUGGUUUGUAUCCAAAAGCCUCACACAUAUGAAAUGAUUAAUCAUAUGGGCGGGGUUGCCUUGUCAUAUCAUUGUAUUUGUAUCCCCUAAUGUCAUUAAUUUGGACUCACCUGCUUCAUUUCCAUUUUGCAACUUAAUUUUAUUGGUUCAACUUAUCGGCGGCCAAAAUAUGAUUUUCACUGGUUAAAGGGGCGAUGUCUGCUUCCCAACUUUACCUGCUUCAUUUCCAUACGCAUGCAUGGUGAUGGUAAAUUGGUAAUGGAGGGUGGUGGGCAGUCUCACAUGAAAAACUCUUUAUCUAAUUUGUUUGCUACUGCUACGAGACACAGACCAUGGCUCAAAAAUCGACAAAUUUAUUUCCCGUACGUAACACUACUACAAAAAAGCAAAAAGACGACGGUAAAUCACCGUCGUGUAUUGGGUUUUUCAAUGGUCGUGGAAUCCACCGUCAUCUUUUCCCUCAUAAACCACGACGCUAAAUAACCGUCGUUGUUAAAAUAUACAACGUCAUCAACAAAUACAAACGACGUCUUUGUACUGCAAAAAGAUCUAAAAAAGCAAUCGAGGAUGAUAAUAAGACGACCAACUCUAUGUUCGUAAGUCCAAUACUUCCAGUCAUAUCAACUGGUGCGUUUUCUUGAGUCGUGACAUCAAACGAAUGAAGAAAACUAGCCAAAGUUAAAAGUGUCAUCUGAAGGCCAAAACUUAUCCCAGGGCAUGCUCUUCUACCACUGCCAAACGGCAUCAGCUCAAACUGCUGACCCCGAACAUCAACAUCCUUAUGGGUAGUGAGAAAUCUCUCUGGCUUGAACUCCAUCGGGUCGGCCCAAACCCGUGGAUCAGUUUGGAUCUUCCACAGGUUCACUAGCAGCCACGUACCUUUUGGAACAUGGUACCCUCCUACGGUACAGUCUUCUGUGAACUCCCUCUGGCCUGAGAGUGGUCCAGCUGGGCAUAAACGCAUUGCUUCUUUAACAGUGGCCUGCAGGUACACCAGAUUAUUUAUAUCUGACUCAUCCAGCAGUCUUCCUUUGCCAACAUACUGAUCAAGUUCUUCAUAAACUUUCUUCAAAACUUGGCGGUUGUUCAAAAGCAAAGAGAGUGUCCACGUCAGGGUCACCAUGGUUGUGUCACUCGCUCCAGCAAUCAAAAUCUGCACAAUCAAAAUUUUGGUGAUUAUUAAAACAAAUUUAGCCAAUGACCAUUUGGUUUAGCAGCAUCCAGUAUCGACUUUGUUCGACCAGGUGCUGAGUUGAAAUAUGACGGACAAAGGUCGUUGUAGAAAAAAUUAAAAUAAAUUAACAUAUAUACCAAACAUGUUGCUUUGAUGACGGUAUCAGCAUCGAAGCCAGCAACAUCCGUUCCAUCGAUGGCUGAAAGCAUGACAUCCANNNNNNNNNNNNNNNNNNNNNNNNNNNNNNNNNNNNNNNNNNNNNNNNNNNNNNNNNNNNNNNNNNNNNNNNNNNNNNNNNNNNNNNNNNNNNNNNNNNNNNNNNNNNNNNNNNNNNNNNNNNNNNNNNNNNNNNNNNNNNNNNNNNNNNNNNNNNNNNNNNNNNNNNNNNNNNNNNNNNNNNNNNNNNNNNNNNNNNNNNNNNNNNNNNNNNNNNNNNNNNNNNNNNNNNNNNNNNNNNNNNNNNNNNNNNNNNNNNNNNNNNNNNNNNNNNNNNNNNNNNNNNNNNNNNNNNNNNNNNNNNNNNNNNNNNNNNNNNNNNNNNNNNNNNNNNNNNNNNNNNNNNNNNNNNNNNNNNNNNNNNNNNNNNNNNNNNNNNNNNNNNNNNNNNNNUACAAAUAUAUGAGAGUCGUAUUACAAAAUUUAUACGUCCUAUUUUCAGAAACAAACAACGACGAUAAAUAUUAGACGUUGUUAAAUAAAACAACGUCGGAAAAAAAUAAAAACAGACGUGUUUAGUCUGCUAAAGUUCUAGAAAAUAGUCGAGGAUGAGAAUAGACGACCAACUCAAAAAAAUCACCGUCGUUAAAAAGGAAAAAUAUGACACAUAUUAAAAGAACAAGGCCGCAAGAUAUACAUACAACGACAACAACUAAAAUACUACGCCGUUAAAUAUAAUUUACCCGACAAGAAAAAAUAUGACGUCUUUAAAUACAUGAGAAGACGACGUUAUUGAAAUCUACUACGUCUCUUAUUUACAAAAAACCGUCGUGAAAUAAAUUUUCCACUUCGAUUUUUCUAAAAAAGAUGACGUGGAAAUAGUUGUCAGUGUCAUUAUUUACGACGUAUACAUUUAUAUAGUCGACGUUGUAUUUAUAUGUAUUCAUUACUCACGACGCACUUAAUAAUAUAGACGACGUUGAACUUCUAAACAACGUCGGUUCCAAAUAAAUGAGAGCCGUAUUACAGAACAUAUAGACGGCGUAGAUUAUGAUGAGAGCCGUAUUACAAAUAACGUCGUUUAAUUGUUAUUAGACGGCGGUUAUAAUGAACUUCCGUCGGAAUUCAUUUCGUUCCUCUUCGUUUAUAAAAGAACUUGCGACGUGGAAAAUGUAUGAUGACGUCGUAUUUUUUAACGUUCAGAUUAUAUAUCUCGUUUUUUAGACGUCGGUAUUAUGGGAUUGGAGUCGUGUUAUUCUGAAUUACAUGGCGGUUCUUAAUCCUUCACCGACGUGAUAUCCUGAAUAAUUGCUUCACAAUAGCGUCGUGGUUCUUCAUUGUUACGUUGCUUUAAGACGUCGGUAAAUAUGCUGAAUAACUGAUUCACAAUAACGUCGUGUUUUAUUUGAACGUAGAAAGUGAAGAAAUCGCAUUACAAUAUAUUACAAAAUUAAUGUCAUACACUGCCAAUUACAUAAGCAUCAUUCAAUCCAUAUAUCUUCACACUCAUCUCGAAUAUUUUGACCGCCUAACUCACCUACCAGUUCAUCAAAUGUGUCAACAUUUGGCAUCCCUCUAGUAAAUGGCUCACACUCAAUUAUCACAUCACCUAAGACUUCAUCACCAAUAACAUCAUUAUAUUCUCUAUUAGGCAUUGAUAACACUACCGACCAACCACGAUGCAUCGGGUCGUCAACAAAAAAUAUUUGUUUGACUUGAGAAGCCAAAACAAAUUGGUCAUUCCUAUGUCCAAUUUUACUCAAAUCUACAAGGGUAAAUCCAAGUUCGUCGACUACAAGACCAGAACUAUCUAUCCAAUCACACCUAAAGACUGGGAUUGUAAACUUUUGGUAGUCAAGGUCCCAAAUUUCUUGACUGACACCAUAGAAACCCAUAUUUGAGAGAAUUGGGUUUUUAUCCUUGGCACUAGCAACUUGCAUGGUAUGUGCAAGUAAAUAAACUCCACUAUUUUGAGUUGUCCGCACAUCAUCUUGUGCCUUGAUAUUGAAUUUAAUACCUUUAAUAAGAUAGCUCCUAUAUAAUGGCACUGACAUGUUUGGACCAGCUGCUAGCCACCUUAAAUUUUCUGAUACGCCAUGAUUGUCUUCCUCAAGUUCACUUUGAACCUGCAAAUUAAUCAUAUCUUAAUUCAAUCUAACAUAUAAAUAAGAAGAAAAUUAAUAGAGAAAUAUGUUAUUCAACAACAUAUACCUUGAAGCGUAGCCAUUGAAUGAAAGUGCUAUUGUGCUUAUCCUGCAGCCACUUUGUUCUCUUUCUAAAUUUUGGAUAAGCAGUCUUGAUGUGAAUCAUAUGUUGCUUACAUGACACGAAAAAUUCAAGCAUUACGGUCCUAAAUAUAGAAGAUAAACAUAAGAAAUAAUUUAAAAUGGAAACUUAAAGAAUAAAGCUCAUACGUACUCGAUAUAAGGUAGGACUUCCUCCGUAUUCUCCAAGACAUAUAGAUGUGCUUGAUUCAACAGGUCCUGAUCAACUACGCUCACUGUGCAACCUGAUAAUGGCUUUGAAAGUCCCUUCUUUUGGCUUGAAGGCACUCCAACUGUACUAACAUCAGAUAAAUGCUGAGUACAACACUCUACCCCCAAUCACAUUGGCAAACUCAUACGAAUCGGAACCAAAAUCAUUAUCAUCCAUAUCAAUUUCUUCAGACACAAAACUGUACCUACUAUGGCCAUCAUCUUCUUCAAUAUUUCUACUAGCAUUAGUAGUUGCUUCCCAAGGUUCUCCGUGAAAUGUCCAAUUCUUAUAGCUUUGGUCAAUUCCAUUAAAGUAUAAGUGAUCCCUUAUAAUUCCAACCCCAAACAACUUCAAAUUAACACAUUUAACACAUGGACAACGGAUAUGUGUUGUAGUUAGAAGAUUUUCUACAGCAAAGUUCAAAAAUGCUUCCACCCCAAACUCAUAUGCCUUCGAUCUUCUAUCCGCGUGCAUCCAUGACUUAUCCAUCUCCGACACUAUAACCUAUUAUCUAUAAUAAAGUGAAAAUACAGGCAAUGACCAUCACUAUAGCAGAUUAUACAAAGAUCUAAUAGCAAGUAAUACACAACAGAGACGACGGGUUUUAAACAAAAACAGACGUAUUUGGCAUAUAUAGACGACGGAUUUUCAACAGACGUCGUCUAAUAUAAGUAAUACAAACGACGGUUUAUGAAAACACCGUCGUGUAUAAGUAAUACAACGACGGUUUUUUCAUAAACCGUCGUGUAAUCGUCGUCGUAUGCCUAAAAAGGCGUCGUGUCUCAGUUUAUUUUCAAGAACCCAAAACCCAUUAAGAACACAACAUAUAUAUGAAACCAAGCAAGAAAACAACAUAUACAUGAAACCAAGCAUGAAAACAAUAAAUCCAUUCCCAAUUCAACAUAACAUAGGGUGAUUAAAAGAUCCGACAAAAUUAAAUCCAUUCCCAAUUCAACAUAACAGAUAAUGUAAUCCAUGAACCCAUUAAACAGAAAAUCCAUGAACCCAUACUUAUAAGCACAUUAUUAACAGAUCGCAAAGCAUAUACCUAAAACCCUUUAACAAAACAACCUAAUAUCAUUCAAUGAAUUUACAAGGGGAAGAUAGGGUUUGUACUUACAGGUUGGACGAGCUCACAGAUUCGACGGAGCAGAAGUGACAGAGCAACUUUUAAUUAGAGCAACUUUUAAUUAGAGCAGAAGUGAGAGAGCGAAAUGUUAUGUUGCACGAAAUCUGAAAAUUUUAGGGUUCGGGGUUAGAAGAAUAAGAAUAAGAGCCAAAUAUAAAAAAAUUUAGGACGCGCGAAAAUUUUUAGAGCGCGCGCUCUUUAAAACGUCGAAAGAAAAACCAUGGCGAAAGUUCUACAAGAACCGACGUAAAUGUAAUAUUCCACGACGGAAACACUGAACGUAACGCCGUUUAUUUUGACGCUUCAUUUUUCGGAUUAAUUUUAAAUUUAUUUUCAAUAUUUUGAUAUAAAGACGACUGAAAAACCACGUCGGGGUUAAGAAAUUGAAAACGUUGUAAAUAAUAAUACACGACUUACAUAUUAAAAUGACGUCGUUUAACGCAGAAACCAUGUCGGAUAAUUUACUGCACGACGUAACAUAUGUAUUCCACGACUCAACCACCGUCGUUAACAAUUAAUACCCUAAACCCUUAAAACUAAAUUAUAUAAUUUAAAAAAUUAAGUUUAUAAAAGGGUUUAUGGUUUUACAGCCUAAUAUAUACCCUAGACUACCCAAAAAUUAUACUUUAAAAAUAAACCCCAAUAAAUAACAACCCUAAUCUCUAAACCCUAGACUCUAAACCCUAAACCAUAAAACUAGAAGUGAUUUUAUGACUCAUCAAAAUAAUUUUGUUUUGGAUGUUCAUUUUAAAUUUUUGUUAUUGAAAAUGAAUUUUUUCAAGCUUUAGGGGGAAGAAAAUAUAUCAAUGACUUCAUAGGAGUUGACUUUGCAUUUUUCUGAUUUAUUUUAAAUUUAUUUUGAAUAUUUUGAUAUAAAAAUAAUAAAAUAUUCUUAUCACAACAACAAACCACGUCGGUGUUAAUAAAUUGUAGACGUUGUAAAUUGUAAGAGACGACUAAGUUGUUAAAAUGACGUCGUUUAAAUGAGAAACGAUGGCGGAUAUUUAACUAUCCGACGUAAAAUAUAUAUUCCUCGACUUAACCGCUGUCGUUACAAAGUACUACCCUGAACCCUUAAGAAAUUGAAGAUGUUGUAAACCAUAAACGACUCCAUUGUUCAAAGAACGUCAUCUAAAUAUCCUUUUACGUCGGAUUUGUUUAAAACGAAACCACAAAAAACGACGGCUUUUGACUUUAUUACGUCGUUGGAAAAUUAUUACACGUCGGUAACGCAUUUUGUAUGUUUGUUUUUGUUUUUACUUUAAGAAAACCUCAACAAAUUUUUACAUUAUAUAUUAUAGACAAAAUUUGUACAUUAUACAUAAAUAUCAAGUGUUCAAUAAUUCCCCUAUUCCAGUUGAAGGCAAACAAACUCUGCCCAUUCAUUCCGGACUUCAUCAAUUGCUUCUUGGGGGUAUGGCUCUUCCUGUUUUCCCUUCGCAUACUGCAUAAAAACAAUGACUAUUAGGGUUUAUAAAUAAAAGGAAAUUCAAUCACAGACGACCAUAACCGACGUAGUAUAUCUAUUCAACGACGGUAAUUUUACAUGACCGUCGUUGAUAAUACAAAAAACGACGUAAAAUGUUUGAAGGUUAUUUCUUCUUACCUUCUUCUCAAACCCCAAGGAAGGAUCCAUGAUGAUGUCCUUCAUGAAGCGCAUCACGUAAUACCCGCAUUCGACAUUGCUGGGUUGCUUUGGUGUGCCUGACAGAGUUUUCCAAAUGACUGCCUUACGGCUUGAUCUGGCUAUGUGGGAAUUAUAAAUUUUUAUGGCACUGUUCACGAUGUUUUUGGCCUCUUCAUCGACCACACGAUUUCCUGGCAGAGGAUCCAGAAAAUAGACUGUUUCCCUCUUUGCUCUUACAAUCAGCAAGAUCCAAUGACGGCUGCACAAAAUUAAUAUAAAAACGACGGUUAUUUACAAAAACGACGUAUUAUAAUAUUUCACACGACGAAAUAAAGUAGCAAUCGACGACAUUAUAUAUUUAUCACGACGAUAAAUAACUACCGACGUGGUUAGUAGUUUCAAACGACUCAAUAAAAUAAAACACCGACGUGGUUAGUUUAUACGCUGUCAUUUAUUGAAAAUCAUAAAAACAAAAUCCUGUUAAGGAGACUAACCCUGGAUUGUAAGGCAUCAGGAAAAUCUGUUCACCGUCAGUCUUCUGAAGUCGUGAUGCUACCAUUCGUGAUCUGUCAGCUAUUGUGCCAGAGCUGGCACUAACUGUAGCAGGGUCGAUAAAGCCAACCAUUGUGCACAUAUUUGCUUGUUUUAAAACAUCGUGUAAGUACCUAAAUAUAUAAAAUAAUAUAAACAAGUCAGCGCAAAAAAAACACACGACGGUUAUGUAUAACAAAACGACGUAUUAUAAGGUUUCACACGACGUACUGAAAUAGACAACGACGUUAUAAUAUAUUUAUCACGACGGUACAUACUAACGACGUGGUUAGUUAGUUAAGACGACGCAAUAAAUAAACCAACGACGUAUUAUUUUAGAAUGACAAACCUCAUAUAUACAAAAAAACACACGACGGUUAUGUAUAACAAAACGACGUAUUAUAAAAUUUCACACGACGUACUGAAAUAGACAACGACGUUAUAAUAUAUUUAUCACGACGGUACAUACUAACGACGUGGUUAGUUAGUUAAGACGACGCAAUAAAUAAACCAACGACGUAAUUUAUCACGACGGUACAUACUAACGACGUGGUUAGUUAGUUAAGACGACGCAAUAAAUAAACCAACGACGUAUUAUUUUAGAAUGACAAACCUCAUAUAUACAGCAAUGACUGUAGCUCCUAUUUCCUCCAUGCCUGCAAAUUGUGUAAUAUCUUCAGGCAGGAGGAAGGUAUCGCGCUCUAGACCAAAGACCUCCUUAUCAAUUGUAAAGUGCAGGGUCUUAUCCUGAGGCACGAGUGUCGUUUUCACAUAACGACAAAGGGUUUGUAAAGAAGAUGGCGCCUCCAUAUUUGAAUAAUCAACAAUUUUGGUAACCUGUUUAAAGAAAUAAAAAAAAAUGACGUGGUAAUUCAAUAAAAACGACGGUUUAAGGAAUAAAACGUCGUCUGAAAAUAAUUUAAACGACGGUGAAAAAACCGUCGUGGUGAAUUAUUUAUUACGUCUUAGAAAACAAUUCCGCCGUCUAAGUUGUAAACAAACGACGGUUUAAAGAAAAAUAUCGACGUCUGGAAUUUUGAAAAACAAAUAAAAAAGGCAAAGUUAUGUGAACAUACCUGGUCGUCAUCUUCUUUCUGCUUUUCAUCUUGUUUUUCUUCUUUAUUCUCUUCAUCUAUGACGUCGGGAAUGAUUAACUCCGUCGUCUAAAAACCACAAAGUUUUAAAAAUAACGACGUUUAAUGGCGUGUAAAACAAGUAAACUAAAUACGACGUGGUAUUGAAAUACAAACGACGGUUUAUUUUUAAAAUCGUCGUGGUAUGUAUUUCAAACGACAGUUUUAUUAAUAAUAACGACGUCUAAUGGUUUUUAAAAAAACAGAGAAUUCAAAGUUCAGAUAUGUUACCUUUUCUUCCUGAUGUUUCCCAUUUUUGGCAGUAUCAUCCUCAAAAUGCUGGGAUCUCACAUCACCUCCAGAGCAGCUUGCUUUGUCAGACAUUGGAUUUUUGGGACUUUGGCUAAUUCUGGGUUUAAGCAUGCUUGGAUCAAAAUUGGGAAUUAAUUGGGAAAGCUGACUCAGGAAAUGCUCCCUCUCAGCCUCUACCAAUUGUUUCGUUCUAGCCUCCAUCCUUAAAGCCUCUUCCCUUGCCUUAGCCUCCAUCUUUCUAGUCUCUUCUUGAAGGAGAACUCUUAAACUGUCCUUCAAACGGUCGUCAAAGCUCACUCUCUGUGGUUUGGGUAAAUUGAAAUAUUGCUUUGGUGAGAUCCCAGCACCUACUCCUCUGACUCUGCCUGGAUGCUCGGGGCCCAAAGCCAUGGUCAGCACAUCAUUGCUGCCAGAGACGGUGACUUUGCCUUCCGAGACUUGUUUUUGCAAAUCAUCCUGAAACAAAGAUAUAUAAAAAAGUAAGAACAAAAACACACGACGGUUAUUUAUAUACAAACGACGUAUUAUAUAAUUUCACACGACGCAAUAACAUAUAAAUCGACGUUAUUAUAAUUUAUCACGACGGUAGUUAUACUGACGUGGUUAGUUUUUUAAAACGACGAAAUUAAUAAACCACCGACGUCUUAUGUAACAGAGGGAUGAUUCAAUAUUCACACCUUUAACGACGUUGUUUAAAACAUUUCGACGUAGUAAUUUAAUACAGACGACGCGAAAUUGAACCACCGACAUCUUAUGCUAUAAUUACAGAAAACAGAGUUGUGAUUCCUAUUUAGACCUUUAACGACGUGUUUUAAAAAAUGUCGACGUGGUAAUAUCAUUCACACGACGCAAAAUAUAACAUAAGACGUAAUAAGAAUUAUUCACAGUUUAAUAAAAAUUUAAAACAGAGUGAGUAGGCUUACAAUUAAUUUUGCUUUCUCUGCCACCUUUGGAUCAGGGAUGUUACCAUGUUUGUCCUGUCUAGCUCUCUUCCAUAAGGUAGAUCGAUCAAUUUCUACCCCAGGCAUGGUUUCCUCUAAUUGAUCCUCCAAACCAGCAUAUCCUUUUCGAGACAAUCGAUGAUUGUACUCGAGUUUCUCCCUAAUCUGUGCAUGUUGAGAAUGCACAGACUCAAAAUCUUUGGAUAGCCUUGAAGCUACAAAGGCAUCCCAUUGUGCUUUCUCUAUGAAUUUAUAUGUUUCAGGGGGUUGGCUUAAUCUCUCCCUGUCAUUGGUGUAUGGAAGGAUAUAAUGCCUCGUUAGUGUAGACUUGAAAUCCUUCCAUUUCUUGGCAGCAGAAGCUAAGACAGAGUUCUUGCCCUCUUGACCUACUACAAAAGCAAUGUCAACUGCUUCCCAAAUCUGCUCCUUUAUAUCCUUGGGGAUUUGAGCCCAUUUCAAGUCCACAAGUGGGACUCUGGAGCGUGCCAACACACCAAUAUAGGACUGCAUCUCACUGUGUGCUUGGCCAAUUCCUUUCCCCCUUUUAUUGUACUCAACAAUUGGCCUCAGUUUUUGAAGUUUUCUCUUCACAACACGAGGCAUUGUGCUCAUACCUCGACCAGCCUUUGAAUCAUCAGAGAUUGUUGUCGCGCUGGUUGGUUCUGUAUCAGCAGAUGAUGAAGCAAACUUCAUCUUCUUCGAAGACUUCAUUAUCUUCGAAGACUUCUCUUGAGGAGGUACUUGCUCCUUACCUCCAUUUUUGUUGGAGCCAGAAUCCUUACUUUGGUCUUGGUGAGAAACCAUUUUUACAGACAAAACUGCAAGUGAAAAUAUUUCAAGAAAAGAUUAAGAACACAAACGACGGUUAUUAAUAAAAGACGACGUAUGAUAUGAUUUUAAACGACGCAAUGAAAUAAUAUCAGACGUAAUAAAUGUUUAAAACCAAGGUAAUUAAACAACGACGAAAUAAUUAACUACAAACGACGUAAUAAUUAACUAUAAACGACAGAAUAUUUAUAUAACGUCGUGGUAUUGAUGUUCACACGACGUCAGUAGUAAUAUACCGUCGUCUAUAUAAGGAUCCAAAACCCUUCUUUCUUUCUCUGUGAAUGUUUGAUUGCAGAUUUGAUUUUUCUGAACCAUGGUUUUUGUUUUCUAAUUUGAUAAAAUACAAGGCCAAGAAAGAAAGUUUUGGAAUCUUAUAUAGACGACGGUAUUUUAAUAUGACGUCGUGGUAUUAACAUUCACACGACGUAAAACAAUAAGAUACUGUCGUCUAUAUUAGAUACCAACCCUAAUUUCUUUUUCUUUAUAUUUUAUCAAAUUAGGGAAAAACAAAAACCAUUGUUCAGAGAAAUCAAACCUGCAAUUAAACAAGCAAAUAAAAAAAGACUAUAAUUUUAAAAACAACUUUGUCAAUUUUCAGACGACGCUAGAACGACUGACGAACCGUCGUGGUCUACAUAUUUAACCACGUAAAUAAGAAGCUACCGUCGUCUUAUUUAGUUGAGGUAGUUGUCUUCAAAGUUGGAAACUUUCCCUCUUUGUCUGUAUAUUUUUUCGAACUUGGAAAGAAGUAAAAUGAUUUUGGCCAGAAAAAAGGUAAAAAGAUUUUUCAAACAAAAAACGUAUGAGCAUGCAAAACAGCAACCAAAAUAGUGAAAAUGAAAGCUUACCUUUUGCGUGCAAUGAAAGCAAGAGGAAGACGAUCGAUGUUUAAGUUCAGAGACGACGAAGAAGACGAGAGGAAGACGAUGAGAUACUCUGAAAGUGCUCUGACAAGGAAAAAAGUCUAAAAGUUUUCUCUGGGAGAUUGAAAUUUUUAAUCGGGUUUGGAAACAGUGCAUGUGUAAGACAGGUACACGAAAAGUUGCUUACAUAUAAAACCAUUUCAAAAAAUAAUACGGCGGUUACAUAUAACUACGACGUAUAAAUUACAAAAUACGACAGUACGUUUAACUUCGGACGUGGUAAAUAAGUACGACAGUAGUGUUGUAGGUACCGUCGUAGUAAACUCAAAAAUUAAAGUACAUAAAUAAUAACUCGCGUCAUGGUAGAUCAUUUAACACGUCGAUUUUAUUAAUGUACCGACGUGGAUUUAUGUAAUAUACGUCGGUCAUAACGACGUUGAUUUUAAAAUUUAAACGGCGGUUUUUUUGUAAGGACCGCCGUUGGUUUUAAAAAUUUAUUCUAUAAAUUUGUCGCUUUCAUUCAUUUUCGGUUUACAUUUAGGGUUCCAAGUUCUUCCUCUCUCAGAGACACUGUCUCUCACAUCUCAAAGACAGUAAUUUGGAUGUCUUUCUCAAAGAGAAAUUGAGCUUACUCGCAUCAAAUCUAUGUCCACAAGAAGAAGCUUGUCAACUAGCCUUCUCACUUCCUUGAUCAAGCCUGAUAGGACACUUAGUGCUUCUGAAUACUCCUUGCUUUCCAUCAAAAGAGAUGCAAGCCUGGCCUCCACUCGCUGUCGAAGGAAAGUUCGCUUCUCAGGGAAAUCUGAAGAUCAGAUGUGCCUGAUCCUCUGCUUGAUUUUCUUGGCUAAGAAGAUCCGUCAGAUUUGUGAUAGCCUCUUCCUUUAUCCGUAGAGCUUCAGAAGAAGAAGAUGGGUUUCAAGAAUGCGAUAAAGAAUAGAAAUGGCUUCAUGAAUGCGAUAAAGCAUGAGCAAUCGAAUCAGUGCUUUGAACUAUACUCUGAACUAUACAAGUCAAUGCUUUGAACUAUACAAGUCCUGCAGAAAGAUAAAGGACCAUACUGUUAAAGAAACUGAAACUAUUAAAGAAACCAUAAACUAACACGACGCAAUAUUUGUUUUGCGACGUGGAAUCUUUUCAUUUAACGUCGUUAGGUUUAAUAUAACCGACGUGGAUUUGAAUUGUGAAAUUAUGAAUAGAAAUUUUUUUCCCGUGACCUUUCAGUUUAUUUUUCAAUUACAGUGCGUUAUAAAUAGAGUUUUUUUUCUGGAGGAAAUUUAAAAUGAAGGAAAUUAAUGUUCUGGAUUAUGUAAAGUUUCUUUUUUGGAUGACAGAUUUCAAUUCUUGUCAUUAAGUAGAUCUACCGACGUAGGAUAAGAAAAUAAAGGAAAAAAUUGUUAACAAAAAUUCUUAUUAAGACGACGGUUUAAAUUAAAGGUACGACGUAUAAAAUUAAUAAAUACGACGUUAAAUUUUAUAGUACGAUUUAAAGAUAACGUCGUAGAACUAUACGAUAAUAACGUCGAUAUAUUUAUAUUUUCCGUCGUUGUAAAUUAAUUUAAUACGGCGACAUUUUGUAUUUUAAAGCCGUCGAUUUGUUUGUAAUUAUACGGUGUCUUAUACGAAAAUUUCGUCGUGUUAUUUUAUGAGUAAAAACGGCGGCUUUUAUUGAAAUCGUCGUCUUUACUUUCUACGUCGGUCGAUUCAUAACUUCUGCCGUUCUUUGUUGGCUUUGAUUUUACACUGCGGAAAUCUGUUUCAAAUAGACGUCGGUUUUUUAAUUAGGUACGUCGUUAUUUUUGAACAGCCAUUUGAAUCUCCAUUUUUAGUUGUCUAAGGUGGUAUUACACGACGGUGUUUUUAGAACCGUCGUCUUUUUAAAAACCACGACGGUUUUCACUUAGACCGUCGUCGUUUUCUAGUCGUCUUUUUCACUUUUUGUAGUAGUGUAACUUCUAGUAGUCUAUUCCUUCCCAAGAAUAGCAUUUGUCAAAAGUAGAGGAAUUUAUAAACUGGAACUGUUUAGUUUAAUACAUUCACAACAUAUAUUGCAUAUGUGCAUUUUAUUCUCACAUAUAGCUAAAUUCUCACUCUCAACUAUUUAAUCAUACAAAUUAGGAGACAAGCGUGGUUUGACGAGGACAUCAAGAGGAGUCAGUUUUAUGUUCGUAAGUCCAAUACUUCCAGUCAUAUCAACUGGUGCGUUUUCUUGAGUCGUGACAUCAAACGAAUGAAGAAAACUAGCCAAAGUUAAAAGUGUCAUCUGAAGGCCAAAACUUAUCCCAGGGCAUGCUCUUCUACCACUACCAAACGGCAUUAGCUCAAAUUGCUGACCCCGAACAUCAACAUCCUUAUGGGUAGUGAGAAAUCUAUCUGGCUUGAACUCCAUCGGGUCGGCCCAAACCCGUGGAUCAGUUUGGAUCUUCCACAGGUUCACUAGCAGCCACGUACCUUUUGGAACAUGGUACCCUCCUACGGUACAGUCUUCUGUGAACUCCCUCUGGCCUGAGAGUGGUCCAGCUGGGCAUAAACGCAUUACUUCUUUAACAGUGGCCUGCAGGUACACCAGAUUAUUUAUAUCUGACUCAUCCAGCAGUCUUCCUUUGCCAACAUACUGAUCAAGUUCUUCAUAAACUUUCUUCAAAACUUGGCGGUUGUUCAAAAGCAAAGAGAGUGUCCACGUCAGGGUCACCA